CUUGGUCAGGACGAACGCUGGCGGCGUGCCUAACACAUGCAAGUCGAACGGGAUUAUAUUGGAAGUUUCGGAUGGAAGGAUAUAAUUCUAGUGGCGAACGGGUGAGUAACACGUGAGCAACCCGCCCUGAAGUGGGGGAUAACACUUGGAAACAAGUGCUAAUACCGCAUAAGACCACGACCCGGCAUCGGGAUGAGGUCAAAGAUUUAUCGCUUUAGGAGGGGUUCGCGUCCCAUUAGGUAGAUGGCGGGGUAACGGCCCACCAUGCCGACGAUGGGUAGCCGAGCUGAGAGGCUGAUCGGCCACACUGGAACUGAGACACGGUCCAGACUCCUACGGGAGGCAGCAGUGGGGAAUAUUGGGCAAUGGGCGCCAAGCCUGACCCAGCAACGCCGCGUGAGGGAAGAAGGUUUUCGGAUUGUAAACCUCUGUCGCAAGGGACGAAGAAGUGACGGUACCUUGUGAGGAAGCCCCGGCUAACUACGUGCCAGCAGCCGC
rnacentral:rRNA from 1 species